AUGCCAUGGUGUGAGCAUUCACUUUGAAGGUCCUUGUACCUUUCUCAUGCAUCAUAAAGUGAUUCUCCUUCCCUUUGCUUGAAAGCAUUCAGCUCUAUCCUUAGUUU